AGGCAGGAGAUGCAACUUGAUCAGGGAGAGGGAUGAAAGGAGCCUGUGCUGCUGAGGACCUGCCAGGACCUAUCAGGACCCAGGCUGAUUUGAAGACCUCUUUCCUGCUGUGUGCUGAAGUUGAUGGGGGAAGCAGAGACCACCAUCCACACCCACCCACUCCUGGUACAAGUAGACCCUCAGGUCUCCCCUUCUCCUUUCUCUCCCGG
rnacentral:lncRNA from 1 species